GCCGGUGCUCCCAAGGACACGGGAGAAGCGCAAGACCCGGAUGUCUCCAGGAAGACCUGCGAAGCUCACAGCAUCUCCAAGAAGCCACGUGAAGAUGGGAACACCCUGGAGAAGUCUGACCGCAACCACAGCGCUUCCAAAGCGAGUGGGGGGCACCUCGAUGCACCCAAAGACAUCAGCAGAGACUCCAAGCUCCUCCCUGUGGUUGGCGACAGCUUCCAGGAGAUCAGUGGCGACUCCUCCUGUUCCCUUGGAGAGGUUGGUGAAGACGCCAAAGAUGCUGGUGGAGACCCCAGAAGGGUUGGUAAAGACCCCGAAGAGGGUGAAGACUGCAAAGAGGCUGAUAAAGACCGCACAGAGGUUGGUAAGGACCCCAAUGAGGUUGGUGAAGGCCCCAAACAGGUUGAUGGAGACCCCGAAGAGGUUGGUGUAGAUCCCAUAGAGGUACGUGAGGACCCCAUAGCGUUCCAUGAGGACCCCUUAGAGUUCCAUGAGGACCCCAUAGAGUUCCAUGAGGACUCCAGCAUGGGCAUGGCCGCUGCUGAGGACCCCUGGGGUGGCACUUGGGCUUGGGAAGCCUCAAGUUCCUCCUCCUCCUCGUGCUCCUCUUCCUCCUCAGAGGAUGAGGUGGGGGUGGAGGACGACGGGGCGCCGCUGCCGCCGCCGGAGGAGCUGGGCCAGGGGAACCCCUUCCUGCUCUUCCUGUGCCUGGCCAUGCUGCUGGAGCAGCGGGAGGCGGUGAUGGGCCGCGCCGGGGACUACAACGAGGUGGCCAUGCACUUCGACCGCCUGGUGCGGCGCCACCACCUGCCCCGCGUCCUGCACCGCGCCAAGGGGCUCUUCGCCCGCUACCUGGAGGGCUGGGGGGGGGCGCCCCCGGGGGGGCACAGCACGGGGUAAAUUGGGGGGGGUGUGGGAUGGGGGGUUCGAAGGGGUGGGGGGGUAAUGGGGGAAGCCCAUGGACAAUAUAUGGGGACUGUGGGUUCGCUUUGGGGGCUCUUGGGGCAUCAUGGGGAGCCCGAGGGCAAUGUGGGGGCUCCAUGGACACCAUGUGGGGACCCACAAGACAAUGUGGGAACACCAUGGGGAGCCCUAGGUCAGUAUGGGGACCCAUAGGACAAUGUGGGGACCCCAUAGACAGCACAUGGAGAGCUGUCAGUCCUCUUCGGGGGCUCCUAGGGCAUCAUGGGGAGCCCGAGGGCAGUAUGAGGACCCCAUAGAUACCACAUGGGGGCCUGUAGGUCAAUGUGGGGACCCCACACAUACCACAUGGGGACCUCUCGCUCCUCUUUGGGGACACUAUGGAGUGCCCUAGGUCAGUGUGGGGACCCAUAGGUCAAUGGGGGGACCCCAUAGAUACCACCUGGGGGCCUGUAGGUCAAUGUGGGGACCCCGUAGACAACAUGUGGAGACCUGUUGGUCCUUUUUGGGGACCCACAGACUGCUGUGGGGACUCCCAGGUCAACAUAGGGACCUGUAAGCCCAUAUGGGGGCCCCCUUGAACCCCUAUAAAGGACCUCUAAGAGACAAAUGGAUCCCCUGGAGACACUCCAGUAUGGACCAGUAUGAAUCACUACAUCCCAGCUGGGAACUCCUGGAUCUAAAUUGCCUUGGGCCAGACCAGUAUGGACCAGCACGGGUCUGGGUUGGAGCAGGAUGGACCAGUACAGCUCCAUCAACUGGGAUCGCUGCUUUGAUAUGGCCUUCAGCCCUCCCAGUAUGGACCAGUAAGGACCAGCACGGCAGCCCAGUGGGAGCUCUUCACCUGCGUGGCCUUGCGUCCUCCCAGUAUGGACCAGUACGGACCAGUACAGCAUCUUGCCCAGGAUCUCUUCACCCCUGUGGCCUUGCGUCCUCCCAGCAUGAACCAGAAUGGACCAGUAUGGACCAGUACAGCAUCUUGCCCAGGAUCUCUUCACCCCUGUGGCCUUGCAUCGUCCUAGUAUGGACCAGUAUGGACCGAUAGGGCGCCCUGACUGGGAUCUAAUGCACAUACGGCUUUUCCCAGUAUGGACCAUUGCAGCCCAGUUCCUGCCCCCUGCCCCGGGUGCCUUUUACCCCCCUCCUUAUUUAUUGCCCCCUGCCCCCGGGGGGGUAUUUGGGCAUCUGGGGGUCUGUGGGGUGCUGGAGACGUGAAUAAACCUGAUGCCCG
rnacentral:lncRNA from 1 species